AUUGAACGCUGGCGGCAUGCUUUACACAUGCAAGUCGAACGGCAGCACGGACUUCGGUCUGGUGGCGAGUGGCGAACGGGUGAGUAAUACAUCGGAACGUGCCCAGUUGUGGGGGAUAACUACUCGAAAGAGUAGCUAAUACCGCAUGAGAACUGAGGUUGAAAGCAGGGGAUCGUAAGACCUUGCGCAACUGGAGCGGCCGAUGGCAGAUUAGGUAGUUGGUGGGAUAAAAGCUUACCAAGCCGACGAUCUGUAGCUGGUCUGAGAGGACGACCAGCCACACUGGGACUGAGACACGGCCCAGACUCCUACGGGAGGCAGCAGUGGGGAAUUUUGGACAAUGGGCGAAAGCCUGAUCCAGCAAUGCCGCGUGCAGGAUGAAGGCCUUCGGGUUGUAAACUGCUUUUGUACGGAACGAAAAGCUUCGGGUUAAUACCCUGGAGUCAUGACGGUACCGUAAGAAUAAGCACCGGCUAACUACGUGCCAGCAGCCGCGGUAA
rnacentral:rRNA from 1 species